rnacentral:rRNA from 1 species
GACGAACGCUGGCGGCGUGCCUAAUACAUGCAAGUCGAGCGGACGGAUGGGAGCUUGCUCCCAGACCGUCAGCGGCGGACGGGUGAGUAACACGUGGGCAACCUGCCUGUAAGACUGGGAUAACUCCGGGAAACCGGGGCUCAUACCGGAUAACUCUUUCCCUCACAUGAGGGAAAGCUGAAAGAUGGCAUCUCGCUAUCACUUACAGAUGGGCCCGCGGCGCAUUAGCUAGUUGGUGAGGUAACGGCUCACCAAGGCGACGAUGCGUAGCCGACCUGAGAGGGUGAUCGGCCACACUGGGACUGAGACACGGCCCAGACUCCUACGGGAGGCAGCAGUAGGGAAUCUUCCGCAAAGGACGAAAGUCUGACGGAGCAACGCCGCGUGAGUGAUGAAGGUUUUCGGAUCGUAAAACUCUGUUGUCAGGGAAGAACAAGUACCGGAGUAACUGCCGGUACCUUGACGGUACCUGACCAGAAAGCCACGGCUAACUACGUG